UGACCCGCAUACGAGCAUCAUUUUUCACCUACUUUUAAGUUUUUUUUUGUAUUCGCCUCAUUCUUUCCUUCAUUUCCCCUGUUCUUUUUGUCUUUCUCCAGUGAUGCUUGAGUUUUAGGUUUAUGGGGAUUUGUACCCAACAGCUUUAAAUUUGUAUGGCCUAUUGACGUGGCUUGCCUGAAUUUGGUGCUGUGUUUUGCUCUUUUAAUCUUGUCUUCUCGAUGUCAAUCAUGGGUCUUUACUUGUCCUUACUAGGAUUGUUUGGGAGGUUUUAUAAGCUUAAUGAGGAGACUUGGAUAAAAAAAUUUGAUUAUUGAGGCAAGCUGAUAGUCAUGAAUAAACUAAGUCAAGCAAGGCAAAAUAGAAGCAAUAUGUUGAAGAUAUUGAGAGCUAAAAAAAAUUCUAAGGUUCGGAAGAAUGCUAACCCCUGUGCACUUAUAUUUGAUAGUAACACUCCACUUCUUGUGUGAGGUAAUCGUUGUUUACCUCAAUCAAAUGACACAAAUAUUAUCACAAGUAAAAGCCCUGGAUUAUUUUCUUAUACCCAACAAUCUAAUGACACAUUCAAUGUUAUUGAUGUGCCUAGUGCUGGGCAUGUGACAAUUUAUUCGAUUAUAAAUGCUCAAGGUGAAUUGGAAACAAUUUUGGUUGAA